ACAUGGACCUGAUGAGGGAAGGUGUUUACUUAGGUGGACCGUUCACUGCAGUAGGAUGUGAGAAAGUGAAAACGGAACACGCAACCAGAAAAGAAGACGCCUGGCAACACACCCAGCCAAAAGAAGGCGACCCAAACCGAGCCACUCGCCAAACCCGCAAUGCUGAUCUGUCCCGCUGCGGCAAGGACCCCAAAGAACAUUCAACAUGGCCGCUGCCAAAACAGCUGGGCAUGAAACAUCAAAAAGAA